GGACCUGGGAUAGUAGAACACCGAAGUCCCUGCCCCAGAUCUGAGGAAAUGCAGUCAUUGGUACCAACAGUAUAUUAGCGAAAGAGACAGAAAGUGAGCAUUACAAUAUAACAACAAAUUAUGAACAAUGGCGCCUUAAAUAACCACAGGUGAGUACAGGGCAGGCAAAUGUUUUUUCAACACAUCAGGGAACAACAGCAAAAAUGCAAAGAACACAGAACAGAUAAUCCAGGGGUGGUAUAGUACGUCAUCAACAGGUGCGCGCAACACUUCCCGAUGCGGCUUUUUUGUGUCAAAACAUCUCGAUUCGGUACAUGAAAGAUGAAAAAGGAAACAGAACUUCUAGCUUGCAUCAAUGGAAUUGUCAAUAUAUGUUAAAAAAGGAUUGCUGAGUGAUUGGCAUGCAAGACAUAAUUAACGUAUUAUAUUUUCCAAAAGCUGUACGACAUAAUAUUUGAGAAGUGGAGAACAUCCUCUAACAGAAUUACCCCCAGACAAGGAUUUCAACGCUCAACUAUGUCUCCGUACCAAACACGACUAUGUCGGUUGCUGUUUGAAGGCAGAACUACACUUAAAGUGAUGCAAGGGAAACAACUCACUUGAUCAUGUAAGCUUUAUUCUAUAAGAGUUUCCUAUUCAUUUGAUCUCCUUUGACCCAAGGACCCAAGAGGGGCUGAAGAAAGAAGAACAGUUAUUAUUAUAAGGGACUGACGAAAGGUAUGUAUUGUACACCAAUCUUUGGAAUAAUGAACUGAGCAAGUAUUCUUAGACAUUGUCAAUUCAAAAAUAAAAAAUAGUAUGUUCUUUGUUUUGAUAUGAAAUAGUUGUCUGAAGGCAAAGAAAUAUUGUUUUGGCAUUGUCGGUCUGGCUGUCUGUCUGUCUUAAAUAAAAACACCUAUAAAGCAAAAAGUAUUUUAGCUAGACUCACCAAACCUCAAAUAAUUAUUAAUUGUCGCAUGACCUUUGCGCAAACAUAGAAUUAUCCCCCUUCACCCAGUAAAACCAGAGCAAAGUUUUUCUCCUUUGAUUUGUUUGAAAUAAAAUUGAAAAUAGUUACAGUUCAGAAAGUGUUUCAGCUAGAA